CAUUCACAUCGUUGUGCAACCAUCAUGACCAUCCACCUUCAGAACACUCCCACCCUCCCAAACCGAAACUGUCCGCAUUAAACACGUGCCCCCACUCCCCUCCCCAGCCCCGUGUGUCCCACCCGCUUUCUGCCUCUGUGAAUUUGCCUCCACUGCGGACCUCAUCUGAGCUGAAUCAAGCAGGCUUUGACUUUGUUUCACUCCGCAGGGUCCUCUAGGUGGAUCCAAGCCACAGCGCCUGUCCAUUUCCUUCCUUCCUUUUUCAGCCCCCUCCCGACCCCACCCCCCGCCCCUGGUAACCAUCGACUCUCUGUUUCUAUGAGUUCCACUUUUUCAGAUUCCACAUAUGAGUGAGAUCACGCAGAACUGUCUGUCCAUGACUUACUUCACUCAGCGCCAUGUCCUCCAGGCUCAUCCGUGGUUUGCAAAUACCAGGAUUCCCUUCUUUUUCUGGUAAAAUAGUAUUCCACGGUGUAGACACAGAACAUUUUCUUUACCUGUGCAUUCACUGGUGGACGUGCACGCUGUCUCCACGUCCUGGCUACUGCGGCCACUGCUUCGACAAGCACGGGGGCAAGGGAGUCUCUGAUUCUGAUUUCAGCUCCUUUGGGUAAAUGCUCAGCAGAGGCACUGCUGGGUCACACGGAAGUUCCAUUUUUAAUUUUUCGAGGAAGCUCCAUGCAGCCUUCCAUCGCUCUACACUAAUUUACAUUCCCGCCAGCAGUGCACGAGUCCCCUUCUCUCCACACCCUUGCCAACGACUGCCUUCAUCUUUUUGAAACAGCCAUCCUGAUGGUGCAAGAUGAGUUCGCUGACGGUUUCCAUUUGCACUUCCCCGUGCCUGGUGAUGCCGAGCACCUUUCCACGUACAAGCCGGCCAUUCUGUGUCUCCUCUGGAGAAGCAUCCAUCAGGUCCUUUGCCUGGUUUUUAAUCGGGUUGUUUUCUUACUCUUGAGUUGGCUGCGUUCCUUAUGUAUUUGGGGUCUGUCCCGCCUGUCAGACGUAUGGUUGGCAAAUGCGUCCUCCCAUUCCGUAGGCUGCCUCUUCAUUCUGUGGAUGGUUUCCUUUGCUGGGCAGAAGUUUUUCAGUUUGGUGUGGUCCUGUCUGUGUAGUUCUCUUUUACUGCCC
rnacentral:lncRNA from 1 species